GGAAGAGGACACAGAGGCCCUGUAGCCAGGCACCAAGAUCCCUCCCAGGUGGCUGAGUCUGAGGGGAACUCCGAGCAGCCCUAGGUCCUCAAAGUCUGGAUUUGUGUGGAAAAGGCAUCUCUCACUUGGCCUUGGCGAGGCCUCGGUUGGUUGAUAACCUGAGGACAAUGGAUGCUGAUGAGGGUCAAGACAUGUCCCAAGUUUCAGGGAAGGAAAGCCCCCCUGUAAGCGAUACUCCAGAUGAGGGCGAUGAGCCCAUGCCGAUCCCCGAGGACCUCUCCACCACCUCGGGAGGACAGCAAAGCUCCAAGAGUGACAGAGUCGUGGCCAGUAAUGUUAAAGUAGAGACUCAGAGUGAUGAAGAGAAUGGGCGUGCCUGUGAAAUGAAUGGGGAAGAAUGUGCGGAGGAUUUACGAAUGCUUGAUGCCUCGGGAGAGAAAAUGAAUGGCUCCCACAGGGACCAAGGCAGCUCGGCUUUGUCAGGAGUUGGAGGCAUUCGACUUCCUAACGGAAAACUAAAGUGUGAUAUCUGUGGGAUCAUUUGCAUCGGGCCCAAUGUGCUCAUGGUUCACAAAAGAAGCCACACUGGUAAGGCCUGGCUCAGUUUUUCCUUUAGUGGCCUGGAGAAGGUGCAUGGGGUUUGAAGGAGGAAAGCAUCCUGUCUUCCUUGUGUUCUGAGCAUGUUUCUAAUUGACUGGUAGCUCAGUUGUUGCAAGCGAUUGGUUCCAAGUGGUACCGAGUCAUAGAGUCCUUGUUCUGGUACAGCCUUGUAAAGGACUUCUCAACACGUACCAAUUCCACCCUAUAAAUAAAACAAGGGAAAAGUGAACAGCAUCACAUGAGAGGCUUGGCGAGGGCUGCUAUUAUAGUAACACAUACUAAGUAGUCUCAGCUGAGCCCUCAGGGUACGUGUGCUGAGUGGUCACCCUCCACAAAACAAAAAAUCCUGAUACACCAAAACUUACUCCUCAAAGUUUCCACUGAGAAACCAUGAGUAAAAUGUGUGUUUAAAUUGUAUCCAAACUAACAGGGUUUGAUGUUUAGAAACAAUAAUCAAUGAUGGAAUAGCAGCAAAAUCGAGUUUUCAGAAAGACCUCAGAUGAGCUUUCAAAUGGCUUGCCC
rnacentral:sRNA from 1 species